rnacentral:rRNA from 1 species
UACGAAGGGGGCUAGCGUUGUUCGGAUUUACUGGGCGUAAAGCGCACGUAGGCGGAUCUUUAAGUCAGAGGUGAAAUCCCAAGGCUCAACCUUGGAACUGCCUUUGAUACUGGGGAUCUUGAGUCCGGGAGAGGUGAGUGGAACUGCGAGUGUAGAGGUGAAAUUCGUAGAUAUUCGCAGGAACACCAGUGGCGAAGGCGGCUCACUGGUCCGAUACUGACGCUGAGGUGCGAAAGCGUGGGGAGCAAACAGG